AACAGGAUUAGAUACCCUGGUAGUCCACGCCGUAAACGAUGUCGACUUGGAGGUUGUGCCCUUGAGGCGUGGCUUCCGGAGCUAACGCGUUAAGUCGACCGCCUGGGGAGUACGGCCGCAAGGUUAAAACUCAAAUGAAUUGACGGGGGCCCGCACAAGCGGUGGAGCAUGUGGUUUAAUUCGAUGCAACGCGAAGAACCUUACCUACUCUUGACAUCCAGAGAACUUAGCAGAGAUGCUUUGGUGCCUUCGGGAACUCUGAGACAGGUGCUGCAUGGCUGUCGUCAGCUCGUGUUGUGAAAUGUUGGGUUAAGUCCCGCAACGAGCGCAACCCUUAUCCUUUGUUGCCAGCGGUUCGGCCGGGAACUCAAAGGAGACUGCCAGUGAUGAACUGGAGGAAGGUGGGGAUGACGUCAAGUCAUCAUGGCCCUUACGAGUAGGGCUACACACGUGCUACAAUGGCAUAUACAAAGAGAAGCGACCUCGCGAGAGCAAGCGGACCUCAUAAAGUAUGUCGUAGUCCGGAUUGGAGUCUGCAACUCGACUCCAUGAAGUCGGAAUCGCUAGUAAUCGUGGAUCAGAAUGCCACGGUGAAUACGUUCCCGGGCCUUGUACACACCGCCCGUCACACCAUGGGAGCGGGUUGCAAAAGAAGUAGGUAGCUUAACCUUCGGGAGGGCGCUUACCACUUUGUGAUUCAUGACUGGGGUGAAGUCGUAACAAGGUAACC
rnacentral:rRNA from 1 species